rnacentral:lncRNA from 1 species
GCACUCGGGCGACAGGUUGUCAGGGCUGUCAGCCUGUCUAAGCAGAGGAAAACGGAGCAGGCAGAGCCGGCCUGAUCUCGGAAUAAAGGCUGCAUGCGACAAACACUGAGGGACCCUAAAAGUCUCGACCAUAGGGCCUCUUCUGGCCAUCUCCGUGGUCGUGUCCCGCUGGAGGAGGAGGCGAUUAGAGACUGUGAGGUGAAGAUGCGGGACCCAAACCACAUUUCACCAGACUGUAUCCUCACCCCCAUCUGACCUUACUGCUGCUCACACUCUCCGUCCCAGAAUGAAAUCCCCAGAAGAUGGAAGAGUGCCCGCCUCACGACGUGAAGCACCUACUCGGCUGGGAACUGAAUUGGAGGUGGAUUCAAGGGGCUCUGGGAAUGAAACCCCAAAUCAGGAGCUGGCCGGAAAGGCUGCAGUUUGCACUCCGACUGUUUCCAACUGUUCCCCGCACUUUGGAGUCCUCCCACCUGGGCACCGGGCCAUGGUGUGGACAGAUUGUGUAAUGAAGCGAAUGUAAGGAUGGAGUUGGAAGCACCUUCUGUGUCAUCAGUCUGCACCUUUUUUUGCAGGUGAAGGUGCGGGACCCCAUCCUUAGGGAUUUUGCGGUGUAUCCCUGGGGCUCCGCUUGAGGUUUCUUCAGGCUGGUUCGCCGCUGCCCUCUCCUAGGGUCAUGGGACUAUCCCGUGGAUCCCACAGAGAAGACAGACUAGAGUCCAUCGCUGACGCACCUCCACAGAGGACUCCUUUUCUGCCAAGCCACAGGGACUAGUCGCCAGGCAAAGGUGGUGUUCACUGUGAUGCGAGCCGUGGCUCACUGGUGCCCUGAGACUGGCGCAUGCCCAUUCGGGAGGCAGGCUCAGGCAUCUGAUGAUGGCAUCUUCCUGGAUUAGGCCCCCACAGAAAUUGAGGAAGUUGUUAUCAGUCAUUUAUACCCUGAAAAUAUUAGUUCACCAGAGCCCUGGAGGGGGAUGGGUAGAAGCUCAUUAAAGUAGGUCUGGAUGGUGCACAGAGUGUGAAGAAAACAGAGAAACCCAGAAAGUCUAAGCCUGAAGACAGCUCCAAUCCUAGGAGAUACUAUUAUUAUGUCCAUCUUACAGAGGAGGAAACUGAAACAAAGGAAGAGAACUUGAUCAAGACCAUGUUGCCCCACAGUGGAAGAGCCAAGAUCCAAACCCAGGUAACCUGCCUCAUCAUCAGAGCCUGGACUCAUAACCUCAUGCUGCAGUUAAGCAGGUUUGCACUGUGGCUAGAUACACAGACUCUGUGUUCACAUCUCAGCUUCUCUGCUAUUUCCAUUUCUGUGACUGUAGGCAAGUUACUUCUCUGUGCUCAGUUUCCUCUAUAAAGUAAGGACAGUAGCACCUGCCUCAGGGGGGUCUCUUAAAUAAGUUAAUAGAUGCAACAUGUUUAGAACAUUGCCAUGGGCUGGGCGCUGUGGCUCAUGCCUGUAAUCUCCACAAUUUGUGAGGCCAAGGCGGGUGGAUCACCUGAGGUCCGGAGUUCGAGACCAUCCUGACCAACAUGGCGAAACCCCGUCUCUACUGAAAAUACAAAAAUUAGCCAAGUGUGGUGGCAUGCACCUGUAAUCCCAGCUACUCAGGAGGCUGAGACAGGAGAAUUGCUUGAACCUGGGAGGUGGAGGUUGCAGUGAGCCAAGGUCACACCAUUGCACUCCAGCUUGGGUAACAAGAGUGAAACUCCAUCUCUAGAAAAAAAAAAAAAAGAACAGUGCCAUGUACACAGUCACCAUCUAGUAAUAAUAUCAUCUAUUAUGUCUGAACCCUGGAUGGUCGCAUAUCCUUGAAGAGUUUAAAAUUCUGGACUUUGAAAUGCCAGACUGUGGGAUCCUGGAAUCUGUCAGCUUCAUGCUAACCUCUUCCAGCUGCAGAAUUUUAUGCUUCUUUGCAGGGUUGGAAGGUGUAGGGCAGUACAUUUACCUAGUUCUGCUUCACUGUAGUGUGAUUUCAAAGCCUUCCCUUCUCCUUCCCCUGCAUGCUCCCUCA